CGGGCACACCUGUUGGUCAUGCUGUCAUCGUUAUAAUUGGUGGGACUUGGAAGUUCAUGUCAGUCUUCAGAUGACCCACAUGACCUCUCUACCCAAUGACAGGAAGUGGAUCACUCCGGUUUGUGGCAUAUGAACUGAGUCCUAUCCCAAAGGGAAUACUUUGGAAGGAGAACAGAAACAGAGAGAAAAGGAGACUCCCUGAAACUGAGAAAGAUGGUGAUCUUGGGGUUUUUCAUCAAGUAGUAGAGCCCCAGGCCCAGCUCCUGUAAACACCUCAGGGAAGAACUUGGAGAGGAAGGACUUCGUGGCGUACCUAGAGAGGCUGGAUAUUAGACCCUGGAGCUUUCGGCCCUGGCAAAGACUUCUGUGCCAAGCUUGGCAGGAGUCUGUGGAGCUGUCUGACCUUAAGUGAUCAUGAGAGCCUGGGUGAUGAGCACAAGGUGCUGAUGGGUAUGGACUGAAGACAAGAGGACUCAGGUCCAAGUGACGUGCUCUGGGUAAGUUCCCAGGGGCUUUUGCACAAUGCUAUGAGGUGAGGCCCAGCAUGAUGAGGACUUAUACUCAGAUAUAUUUUGAUUUUGGAACAAAAUAUUGUGACAUUUUUCAUAAACCCAUGUUUGUAAAAAAUCCUACCUGCUACUUGAAUAUUUGAUUGGGGGCACAGAAGGGACUAGCAGGGCAGCAGGGUGAAUCGAAGUAUGAGUCUGGGUACUAGAAAAUUUGAGAACUUGCUUCUUAUCACCCAGGACUUAAGGGGAAAAGAGUGGUGUUUUGUGCGCCCAAAGAUCUCUAUCGACUCAGCAUAUUUUCAUGUAAUACUGGCCUGUGCCAGUGGCUGGUUCACUCAGCUGUUUGGAAGAGAGUGCUAACAAGGCCAAGGUCAGGUUCUCAUUUCCAUGCAUGCUGCCUGAGAGAGGCAGGCCUUCAGCUUCUGUUGCCACAGAUUAAAUCCCUAACCAGACCAACUGCUUCACAAAUGCAAGUGCUGGGUUGGGAGGCCAGGUGAGAGGGUGUGAAUGAGUCAGCCCAAAGCCUCCGCCUCUCCAGGGGCAAACACUCAGACUUUGGGUUGAUAUCCCUGUGAGCUGUGUGAGGGUUUAAAGGAACUGCCAAGUGGACACGCUCACCAAACAGAAAUAUAUCAAUGCAAUGAUUUCUGAAGGGAGUCUGAUAGAGGGCAAAGGGCCUGUACUUAGUUGGCCUAACACUGUAUCUGUACCCAACAUUUUACCCAUAAUUUACUCGUGUUAUGGUAUCAUUUACAAAAUGACUAAUACAGGUUGUUGUUUGUUCAUUCUUGUGGUGCUGAGAUGAAACCCAGGACCUUGUGCAUGUGAGGUCAGCGCUCUACCACUGAACUACACCUGUAGCACCCAAAAUGAAUUCAGAGUUUAAGAAGCAUAUCUGCAAAGUGAAGAUGAGGCCUCUAAGAUUACAUUUUAAAUGAAAAUUCUGGUCUGCAGCAAAAAUAAAAUGAGAAGAGAAAGAAGAUAUGAAGUUCGAAGUGGAACAGUGUGGUUGGGAAAUUCCCAUGCCUCUACCCUUAAAAAAGGAAAAGAAAAAAAGAAACUCUCUUAUGACCUAGAAGAUUUAUGAUGUGUAGCAAUUUGUUCGUCGGCUCAGGCACAGAUCUGAAUCACACACUGUCUGGAUGCAGGGCCUGGACAUCACUUAGCUGAAGCUCCUGUGUUUUCUGGAGAAUGACUGCUGGGGCAGAUUUUUAUAUCCUGUUCUUCCAGAGACGUGCAGAGAAACCAGACUCAAG